CUUGGUGGGUUGCUGUCUGUCUGCCUGUCUGUGCCUGCUGUACAGGCUCCCUGAUGUUCUGCACAGCAAGUGUAGACAGGCAGACACACCACAACUACCGC
rfam:Astyanax mexicanus Tnplaced_Scaffold3577, whole genome shotgun sequence.